GAUGAACGCUGGCGGCGUGCCUAAUACAUGCAAGUCGAGCGAACGGACGAGAAGCUUGCUUCUCUGAUGUUAGCGGCGGACGGGUGAGUAACACGUGUAUAACCUACCUAUAAGACUGGGAUAACUUCGGGAAACCGUAGCUAAUACCGGAUAAUAUUUUGAACCGCAUGGUUCAAAAGUGAAAGACGGUCUUGCUGUCACUUAUAGAUGGAUCCGCGCUGCAUUAGCUAGUUGGUAAGGUAACGGCUUACCAAGGCAACGAUGCAUAGCCGACCUGAGAGGGUGAUCGGCCACACUGGAACUGAGACACGGUCCAGACUCCUACGGGAGGCAGCAGUAGGGAAUCUUCCGCAAUGGGCGAAAGCCUGACGGAGCAACGCCGCGUGAGUGAUGAAGGUCUUCGGAUCGUAAAACUCUGUUAUUAGGGAAGAACAGAUGUGUAAGUAAAUGUGCACAUCUUGACGGUACCUAAUCAGAAAGCCACGGCUAACUACGUG
rnacentral:rRNA from 1 species